rnacentral:rRNA from 1 species
UACGGAGGGUGCAAGCGUUGUUCGGAAUUACUGGGCGUAAAGGGCGCGUAGGCGGCUCUGCAAGUCUGAUGUGAAAGCCCGGGGCUCAACCCCGGAAGUGCAUUGGAAACUGCAGAGCUUGAGUCUGGGAGAGGAGGGCAGAAUUCCCGGUGUAGGGGUGAAAUCCGUAGAUAUCGGGAGGAAAACCAGUGGCGAAGGCGGCCCUCUGGAACAUGACUGACGCUGAGGCGCGAAAGCGUGGGGAGCAAACAGG